rnacentral:rRNA from 1 species
GACGAACGCUGGCGGCGUGCCUAAUACAUGCAAGUAGAACGCUGAAGAGAGGAGCUUGCUCUUCUUGGAUGAGUUGCGAACGGGUGAGUAACGCGUAGGUAACCUGCCUUGUAGCGGGGGAUAACUAUUGGAAACGAUAGCUAAUACCGCAUAACAAUGGAUGACACAUGUCAUUUAUUUGAAAGGGGCAAUUGCUCCACUACAAGAUGGACCUGCGUUGUAUUAGCUAGUAGGUGAGGUAAUGGCUCACCUAGGCGACGAUACAUAGCCGACCUGAGAGGGUGAUCGGCCACACUGGGACUGAGACACGGCCCAGACUCCUACGGGAGGCAGCAGUAGGGAAUCUUCGGCAAUGGGGGCAACCCUGACCGAGCAACGCCGCGUGAGUGAAGAAGGUUUUCGGAUCGUAAAGCUCUGUUGUAAGUCAAGAACGGGUGUGAGAGUGGAAAGUUCACACUGUGACGGUAGCUUACCAGAAAGGGACGGCUAACUACGUGCCAGCAGCCGCGGUAAUACGUAGGUCCCGAGCGUUGUCCGGAUUUAUUGGGCGUAAAGCGAGCGCAGGCGGUUUGAUAAGUCUGAAGUUAAAGGCUGUGGCUCAACCAUAGUUCGCUUUGGAAACUGUCAAACUUGAGUGCAGAAGGGGAGAGUGGAAUUCCAUGUGUAGCGGUGAAAUGCGUAGAUAUAUGGAGGAACACCGGUGGCGAAAGCGGCUCUCUGGUCUGUAACUGACGCUGAGGCUCGAAAGCGUGGGGAGCGAACAGGAUUAGAUACCCUGGUAGUCCACGCCGUAAACGAUGAGUGCUAGGUGUUGGAUCCUUUCCGGGAUUCAGUGCCGCAGCUAACGCAUUAAGCACUCCGCCUGGGGAGUACGACCGCAAGGUUGAAACUCAAAGGAAUUGACGGGGGCCCGCACAAGCGGUGGAGCAUGUGGUUUAAUUCGAAGCAACGCGAAGAACCUUACCAGGUCUUGACAUCCCGAUGCUAUUUCUAGAGAUAGAAAGUUACUUCGGUACAUCGGUGACAGGUGGUGCAUGGUUGUCGUCAGCUCGUGUCGUGAGAUGUUGGGUUAAGUCCCGCAACGAGCGCAACCCCUAUUGUUAGUUGCCAUCAUUCAGUUGGGCACUCUAGCGAGACUGCCGGUAAUAAACCGGAGGAAGGUGGGGAUGACGUCAAAUCAUCAUGCCCCUUAUGACCUGGGCUACACACGUGCUACAAUGGUUGGUACAACGAGUUGCGAGUCGGUGACGGCGAGCUAAUCUCUUAAAGCCAAUCUCAGUUCGGAUUGCAGGCUGCAACUCGCCUACAUGAAGUCGGAAUCGCUAGUAAUCGCGGAUCAGCACGCCGCGGUGAAUACGUUCCCGGGCCU